AAUGCUUGCUGUCCGAAGCGUUCGAUCUUUGCCAUUCAAAUGUUCACAGCUUGGAGGCACACAUAAAAAUGCAGUUUUAUUGUUUUGGAUAAAUCACAUUACUAGGGAUAAAAUCACAAUUAUACUGACGUUUGUAAUCAUUAAGAUAACCUAAUAUAAGCUAAAUGGCUAACCUCUAAGUAGCUAUGCCGUCCAUUAGCUAACUAGCCACAUCAUGUGUCAUAUAAACUAACUAUUCAGCAUCCGACUCGUUUACUUACAGCUGCACUAGGUUCAGACAGCAUUCCUGUGUAGUUUAAGAAACCACAGAGCCAGCGCUGAAACAGCGCUGAUAAUGAGACAAUUCGGAGUACAACGCAUUUCUCAUCCCUGGAUUGAGGUACAUUUUCCGAGCCAUAUCUCUCGCCUGCUCAGCGGUGGCUUAAUCUACACAGGAAUUCUGUCCGACCCUAUGUAGCUAAACAAACGGGUCGGAUCUGCUGGCUAAUAAACUAGCUAGCUGGCCAGAGUAACCUCAAAAUGGAUGUAAGGUAAUGUCUUUACUUUUAUCGCAGAACAAUGUCUCAGAAGUAUCCCAGGCUCGUCUAAUCUAGUCCAGAAGAAAUGACAUGGUAAACAAUUGAAUGUGCAUAUGUAACGUUACUAUUAGCUAGCUACCAAUCUAGUAAACUACCAAUCUAGUAAGAGCGCACAAAGAAAAACGUUAUCGAUGGACUAAUUAGAUCCCGGAUGACAUUUAAAAAUACAAAUUGAACUUGAUUCUUAUGUACUCUUAGUGGUCAAGGAGUGACAUUCCACAUGACGAGCAUUAUUACUUAUUUUAACAGGAUUUGAAGCUAUGCCUCAUUUGUUUACAACGUCUAUGACAACUACAUUGUUGUAUGGAUUUACAUAACUUUAUGUACAUUUUUAACUCCCCAGACAUUACGGAUGGAGAAUCCAUACGAACAACCACAGAACGGCUGCAUUUUAUGUAACAUCACAGUGUACUUCAAGAAUGUUCAGCUGCUGGCCCAGUUUAUAUCCCCCCCACAGGAAUAAUUUACGGCAGGCACGUAACAGGUCUGUGGUAAGAAACAGAGGGUGAUUUCCAAAGCCAUAAAGAAAGCUAAUUCGAUGGGAUUCAUGUCUGUAACCCACAAGGACCCACAUUUUAUGAAAGAUCCAAACAUCUUCGACAUCCGGCACUUGGAAUAACUGUCUGCCUGUAUUGUGGAACUAGUGUAGCAUAGAUACUGUAAUCAUUGUGUAUUUAAAUCAUUCUUAAUGUGGAAUAUUGCUUGUUAGUCUAGUCUUUGAGCUGCCAUGCUUGGGUUGAGCCAUGAGACCAAUUAUCGUAACUCACUACACGUGAAAAUAAUGUAAUGUAAUUAUGUACAAGUCCAAUAACAGCUUGAAUAUAAACAAUUAUUGAUAAACACUAAAGUUAUUUUAAUCUCAAG